GGACUACUCGGGUUUCUAAUCCUGUUUGCUCCCCACGCUCUCGCGCCUCAGCGUCAGUGUCAGUCCAGAUAGCCGCCUUCGCCACUGGUGUUCCUUCCGAUAUCUACGCAUUUCACCGCUACACCGGAAAUUCCACUAUCCUCUACUGCACUCCAGUCAUCCAGUAUCAGAUGCAGUUCCUAGGUUAAGCCCAGGGAUUUCACAUCUAACUUAAAUGUCCGCCUACGCGCCCUUUACGCCCAGUAAUUCCGAUUAACGCUCGCACCCUCUGUAUUACCGCGGCUGCUGGCAC
rnacentral:rRNA from 2 species